rnacentral:misc_RNA from 1 species
UCAAACUUGGUCAUUUAGAGGAAGUAAAAGUCGUAACAAGGUUUCCGUAGGUGAACCUGCGGAAGGAUCAUUAUCGAGUUAGGGUCUUACAGGCCCGACCUCCCAACCCUUUGUCUACUUACCGCUUGUUGCUUCGGCGGGCCCGUCUUUUCGACCGUCGGAGGACUGUCACAAGUCCUCUGGCCUGCGCCCGCCGACAGCCUCAAAAUCUUAACUCUUGAAACUGUGUCGUGUUCUGAAAUAUCAAUCAAAAUUUAAAGCAAAACUUUCAACAACGGAUCUCUUGGUUCUGGCAUCGAUGAAGAACGCAGC